CGCGCCCCGGAUCCACCACACACCUCUCCCCUUCUCCCUGGGCUCGCUCUCAGGACCCUAACCCCUUCCCGAGCGGGGCGGAGCAACGCUCUCAGCAGCUGAACUAAGACUCCGGAGGCCGCACGUCCCCCUCAGCAGGCCCCGCCUGGGCCUCUCGGCUCGGCUGCCCUCCAUUGCACCCCUGGCCCAACAGUGCUGACGCGGAAGAGUGGGACAGCACGAGCUCAGGGCCGGGCACUUACUCGGGAAGGAAAUUCAUGGGACCCUGACAAGUACUCUUGAAUACAGGUUUCUGAUAACUUUGGAGAUCAUAUCAUUGGACUAACUAACAACUUUCAGGAUACAGUUGGAGACACUGGUUAUUUUACCAAGGAUUUGACUGUAAUGACAUAUUUUCAGAUAUGACCAGACUGCUUUGAGGAAUGGAGGUUGACUCUAUAGAGGCAAUUAAAAAGCCUCUCGGAAAGAGUGACCUGGUCUCUUGUCUACAUAGUUCCCUUUCAAGAUUUCUGUCCUUGUGUUAAGUAAAGAAUGUCACUUUCUGACAGGCCUGGGAACCUCAAAAUAUUUCCAGUGUAUCUCUUAUUGUUUUAUUUCUUCUGAGAAAACUAAAUUCAUGGUACACUGAAGACUAGAGGUGAUUCAACAAUUGACAGCAGCUAUAAAUCAAUGACUGGUAGGACUACCUGGGAAUGAGCCUUUCUGGCAACAAGGGACACCUUGACACUCAGAUUUUGAUCAUCAGUGCUUUCAAAAAGAAAGAUUUUUGAUCAAAAGGAAUAAAUGAGAAAAAUAACUUUUAAAAUCUGAAGAAUGCAAAUCCUUUCCAACUCUCAGGCCCAAAGAGGUAUUAAAGUGAGACAGCAAUUCUGCCCUAUACACACCCCCUUUUGGGCCAUGUACUCAUCUCUUUAUACUGCUUACUAUUGCCACAAGUAGCUAAAAAUCAGCUUACUGGUGCUGCACCAGAUGUUAUAACCCAUAUCCUAUAGCUUAAUAAUGGAUAGCCAAUCAAUAGUGUAUGUUAUGUUAAUGUAAAUUAUUGGUAAAUAACUCGGGAACUGCCUCUUCUUUCCUUUUAAAAAUCCACUUGUGGCCGGGUGCGGUGGCUCACACCUGUAAUCCCAGCACUUUGGGAGGUCAAGGCGGAUGGAUCACCUGAGGUCAGGAGUUUGAGACUGGCUUGCCCAAUGUAGUGAAACCCCGUCUCUAUUAAAAAUACAAAAAUUAGCCAGCCGUGGUGGUGGGUGACUGUAAUCCCAGCUACUCGGGAGUCUGAGGCAGACUCAAGACUUCAAGAAUAUCUUGAACCAAGGAGGGGAAGGUUGCAGUCAGCCGAGAUCACACCAUUGAAUUCCAGCCUGGGUGACAAGAGUGAAACUGUCUC